GCCAAGAGACAAAGCCCGCACUUCCGAGUGAGCGCAGACUUCUUCCAAGUGGGCCCCAUUCCACGGCAUCAUCUUCCCAGCACCUUUUUGGGGCUUAGCUGUCAGAACCUAUUCUUAAGAAGCACCGGAGCAGCAGCUUGCUUUGCUUGUAUGCCUUUUGUUUUUCGUUUUUCCAAAGGAUUAAUUGUCUGACUUGAUGUCUCACUUCUUUAACCAAAUUUGUUGCCAAAUGACGUUUGUUUCCAAAAUGUAGAUCCAGCAUCCGUAGACCGAUAGUAAGCGGGAGUUUGUGACCCAUGUUUAAGCCCUGAGCUCAGAGACUCCCCCUGAGUAUCCAGGCUCUCCGCAGACUCCUUUGAAGGGAGCAACGAUUAGGUGCGAAAGCUGUUGUACGUUUCUAUAAAGAGUAGCCUCGCAUUUCCGAGGACCCGCUACUCUUCCCAGGCUGAGCCCCGGCCUGCGCUCUGUAGCGCCACCUUCUGGCUCACAGCCACCUUUCCGUUUGCAUCCUUCUAGCCUUCCUUCCAUCCGUCGUCUUUUGACCACUGGCGCCCUGGUGCUGGGGGACGACAACGGUGACCUUUCACCUCCUUGAAGUCUAACCUAGACAGACUGUGUGUAUGGGCUCUGUGACCACAGUUCAUUUCAAGCCCUAUUUUUGAAAAUGGAAGUAUUUGGUAAAUCUAGGGAAUGGAUACGUGCAAUUUAAAAAUUCAAAUAUUGCAAAAGGGUGUGUGUCUUCCUCACUUCCCCUUCACAAAAAGCCCUGUGCUGUCUGUCUGUUGUGCAUCCUUCCAGGUACAGGCUGUGCGUGUGCAGGCCCACUUUGUACACUCCCCACUUUGUUCACACAGCUGUGGGAUGUUAUCCUGUAACAAUACAUCUGAGAGAUCUUUUUGUAUCCAUAUCACAAAUACCCCUUGCUCUUUUUCACGACCAUCCAGUAAGUGCUUCGUGAUAUAGAUGUGCUAUCUUUGACUUCACUAGUUUCCUAAUAAUGGACUUCUAGGUUGUUUCCUUUGUUUUGCUCUUGCAAAUAGUGCUACAAUAAAUG
rnacentral:lncRNA from 1 species